rnacentral:lncRNA from 1 species
UAUAUAUUUUUUUUCAAUGGCUGGUCAUAUGACUCAUAAUUUACUAGGAUAGCAUAUUAUGUAGUUAAUGGGUAACUGCCUGUGAAGUCCAGAAGGGUAUUUUUAUGGUCCUGACAUGAAAGACCACAGCACAAGUUUAUUUGUGAGGCAAUUAUGGGAAAGCUAUAAAGUGAACUCAAUUGACUGCUGUCCUGCCUAUUGACGUCAAAAGCAAAUCAUAGUUUGGUGUUUGGUGUAUUUAGAUUCUAAUAUGUGCAGUAGCAUUAAUCUCUGAAUCACAGAUUUAUUGUUAAUCCCUAUCAUUUGUUUUUGAUAGAGAAGCAGAUAUGGAAUGGUGAAACUCCUGCACUCCUCCAAGUGAUCUUUUUACCUGGAAAGGGAGGUACAAUUUAGAUAUAUGAUUGAAAUGCAGUUGAAAAGGGAAAAAUUUACCAUGUGGAUUAAUGUUCUGCCCACUCAGAUCCCCUUUGGAAUCUUUCAAUACUGA